AACAACCGGCCGGGGAUCAGAUGCUUGGGUCAGCUGGGGGGCUGCAGCGGCGCUACGCGGACUGUAUGGCGGUGGCCUAGGCCCGUGGCGGAAUUUUGGGACCUUUCGCGACUCUAGCGACUCUCAGGCUGCCUUCCCUUCUCGGUGGCGGGGCCUCUUUGGGCCCAGCGACUGCGGGCGCACUGUAGGACAGGAAGAUCCCCCCACUCUCCACCCCGCCGCCACAGGCCAUGUGGACAGAGGAAGCCGGGGCGACCGCCGAGGCCCAGGAAUCCGGCAUCAGGAACAAGUCUAGCAGUUUCAGUCAAAUCCCGGUGGUUGGGGUGGUGACGGAGGACGAUGAGGCGCAGGGUGUUUUCAAGCCUAUGGACCUUAAUCGUGUCAUCAAACUCCUCGAAGAGACUGAUAAAGAUGGCUUGGAAGAAAAACAACUUAAAUUUGUCAAGAAACUGGUACGGUGUUAUCAGAAUGGACUUCUUGCCAUUUUUGAAAAAGAAAGUGUCGGAUGAAAUAACUUAUGCUGAAGAUACUGCUAAUUCAAUU
rnacentral:sRNA from 1 species